AACAAACGCUGGCGGCGUGUCUUAAGCAUGCAAGUUGAGCGGCAAGGAGGAGAGAUCCUCCCUAGAGCAGCGGACUGGUGAGUAAUGCGUGGGUAAUCUAUCUUAGGCAUGGGGAUAGUCACUAGAAAUAGUGGGUAAUACCGAAUAAGUUCCAUAAGGGGAGGACUUAUGGAAGAAAGGUGCUACGGCACUGGCCUUAGGUGAGCUCGCGUCCCAUUAGCUAGUUGGUGAGGUAAAGGCCCACCAAGGCGAUGAUGGGUAGCCGGCCUGAGAGGGUGUACGGCCACACUGGGACUGAGAUACGGCCCAGACUCCUACGGGAGGCAGCAGCUAAGAAUAUUCCGCAAUGGACGGAAGUCUGACGGAGCGACGCCGCGUGGAUGAAGAAGGCCGAAAGGUUGUAAAGUUCUUUUGCUAGGGGAGAAUAAGUGUGGGAAGGAAUGCCUGCACGAUGACAAGGACUAGCGAAUAAGUCCCGGCCAACUACGUG
rnacentral:rRNA from 1 species